rnacentral:rRNA from 1 species
UACGUAGGGUGCGAGCGUUGUCCGGAAUUAUUGGGCGUAAAGAGCUCGUAGGCGGUGUGUCACGUCGUUCGUGAAAACCUGCAGCUUAACUGUGGGCGUGCGGUCGAUACGGGCAUCACUGGAGUUCGGCAGGGGAGGACUGGAAUUCCUGGUGUAGCGGUGAAAUGACGCAGAUAUCAGGAGGAACACCGGUGGCGAAGGCAGCUCUCUGGGACGGUACUGACGCUGAGACGCGAAAGCGUGGGGAGCGAACAGG